CCUACGGGUGGCAGCAGUGGGGGAUAUUGCACAAUGGGGGAAACCCUGAUGCAGCGACGCCGCGUGUGGGAAGACGGUCCUCUGGAUUGUAAACCACUGUCCCCAGGGACGAAGCUGACGCUCCCUUGGGACGACGCUCCGGCUAACUACGUCCCAGCAGCCGCGGUACUACGUAGGGAGCGAGCGUUGUCCGGAAUUACUGGGUGUAAAGGGAGCGUAGGCGGGACUGCAAGUUGGGUGUCAAAUCUACCGGCUCAACCGGUAGCCGCACUCAAAACUGCAGUGCUUGAGUGAAGUAGAGGCAGGCGGAAUUCGUAGUGUAGCGGUGAAAUGCGUAGAUAUUAGGAGGAACACCAGUGGCGAAGGCGGCCUGCUGGGCUUUAACUGACGCUGAGGCUCGAAAGUGUGGGGAGCAAACAGGAUUAGAUACCCCAGUAGUC
rnacentral:rRNA from 1 species